GCCCCGAUAGCUCAGUCGGAUAGAGCGACUCCCUCCUAAGGAGUAGGCCGCAGGUUCGAAUCCUGCUCGGGGCG
rnacentral:tRNA from 2 species